rnacentral:rRNA from 1 species
UACAGAGGGUGCGAGCGUUGUCCGGAAUCACUGGGCGUAAAGGGCGCGUAGGCGGCUUGGUAAGCGUGCGGUGAAAGCCCGGGGCUCAACCCCGGGUCGGCCGUGCGAACUGCUGGGCUGGAGCACUGUAGAGGCAGGUGGAAUUCCGGGUGUAGCGGUGGAAUGCGUAGAGAUCCGGAAGAACACCGGUGGCGAAGGCGGCCUGCUGGGCAGUAGCUGACACUGAGGCGCGACAGCGUGGGGAGCAAACAGG